rnacentral:rRNA from 1 species
AACGAACGCUGGCGGCAUGCCUAACACAUGCAAGUCGAACGAGACCUUCGGGUCUAGUGGCGCACGGGUGCGUAACGCGUGGGAAUCUGCCCCUUGGUUCGGAAUAACUUCGGGAAACUGAAGCUAAUACCGGAUAAUGACGUAAGUCCAAAGAUUUAUCGCCAAGGGAUGAGCCCGCGUAGGAUUAGCUAGUUGGUGGGGUAAAGGCUCACCAAGGCGACGAUCCUUAGCUGGUCUGAGAGGAUGAUCAGCCACACUGGGACUGAGACACGGCCCAGACUCCUACGGGAGGCAGCAGUGGGGAAUAUUGGACAAUGGGCGAAAGCCUGAUCCAGCAAUGCCGCGUGAGUGAUGAAGGCCUUAGGGUUGUAAAGCUCUUUUGCCAGGGAAGAUGAUGACUGUACCUGGAGAAUAAGCCCCGCGUAACUUCGUGCCAGCAGCCGCGGUAAU